AAGCUGUGAGGCGCUCCGGACGAAUGAACUCCCUCAAGAAGGUGCACAGAGUGGUGGCGAGUCCUUUAUUUUAAUGCCAAACUUCAACUUCCUAAGUUUUCUCUUCCAUCCCUGUCUGUGAAGAAUCCGGGGAGUGUGUGAGUGCAAAUACUAGUUUUACCUGCCUGCGGCUGCCACUGCAACGCUUCCCUCUGGAUGAAAACGUCUAGUUGCAGGAAAACAGGCUGAGGGCUCCCACUGAUUCUACAUUAUGCCGGGCGAUACAGUAAAGAAAAGGAAGGACAUUUUGUAUAGCCUGUAAGAGAGCAACAAAUAUUAAGAAGAAAAAAUGAAAUGCAACAGGAAAAGGGGGCUGGAAUCUGAGUAGCUGAGGUGCUUAUGUGACUACAUGCCUACAUCACUGACCCCCAAUAAACACCUUGGACACAAGACUCAGAUAAAGAAACCUCAGAUCAAAUAUAAGCAUCAAAAUCUACAAAGAUUUUAGAGGGUGAAGAAACACGGAAAGAUCUCUGGUGAUGGAGCCAGCAUUGAUGAACCAAGAAAAGUCUUAAACGUGAAGAAGCCUGUGAUAAACAAGGACUGUGCCCAGGGGAAUAACAAGGAAGAAAAAUGUCAGAAGAAUUAGUUUCUCUCUAAUUGAACAAAUGUAUUUAUAUUUCCUUGUUGAUAGGCAUAGAUUCUCAAUGAGAAACUGAAACUUAUGAAGUUACAUUUAAGACUCCAGUUGUGACAAUGAUGACCAAUGCUCUUUGGUAUUACGUUUUCCAAUUCAACACAGGAAAUGAGUUGGAAUUUGUUUUGCAGUUUUUUUUUCAGCCUGUUUUGUGGAGUAUUUUUUCCUGUGAUCUGUAGAAACACAAUGAUAACAUUACGAACUUUGCCAGUCAUUGGCCCAUCAAAAAUGUUUGUAUGCUUGAAUGGGCAAGAAAUUACAUUUGAUGGAGUCCCAUGUGCCUCAUUAACUAAAUUUUUCUUUUCGGUUAUUAUUAAAGGACAGUAGGUGGCCAGGCACGAUGGCUCAUUCCUGUAAUCCCAGCAGUUCAGGAGGCCAAGGUGGGCAGAUCAUGAGGUCAGGAGACCAAGACCAUCCUGGCCAACACGGUGAAAUCCCGUCUCUACUAAAAAUACAAAAAUUAGCCAGGUGUGGUGGUGUGUGCCUGUAAUCCCAGCUACUAGGAGGCUGAGGCAGGAGAAUCUCUCUAACCAGGGAUUCGGAGGUUGCAGUGAGCCGAGAUUGCGCCACUACCCUCCAGCCAGGCAAUAGAGCGAGAGUCUGUCUCCAAAAAAAAAAGACUGUAGGUAUGAGAUCAGACGUGACUUUUAACUUUUAACUUUUAACUUUCAUGUUCUUCAUCUUCCAUUCUUGCCACAAAAAGACUGCCGUUUCCUUCUUCACAUUCAAUGUGUCUCAUGGGUCAGAGAAUCUGUGUGGUUACACUCUUAACUAGUACAGCCACUGUUCUUCGACUACUUAAACGCUCUUAUCCUUCCACUCAGUCAUCCAUUUGACCCCAUUUCCUUUAUAUUCUAUGCAGAAUUACAUGUGCAAUUAGGGUUUGUUUUCAUUAUUACUGUUAUUAUUAUAAUCACUAUUUGCCAAUUCUGUUGAUUACCCUUUCCAUUUGUUUUUCAACAAAACUCUCUCUGUACACCAACAACACUGCCUCAAUCUUUUAAUCUACCAGAAAAAAAAUUCAACUCCAUAAGCAAUUGGAUCAAUAAUAGUAGGAAUUCACAAUUUUCAGUCUCAGUGGUUUCCUUCAACAUUAAACUCCUUUUUAUUUUGAUUGUCCAUUACUUCAUAACUUUGAAAUCCUCUUUCAAUUUCUCUAAUGUAAUUUGACCAAGAUUGUGGCUCGCAAGACUGAACUUUUUUGAAAUAUGGACAUGGGGAGUCCCCACAUUUUGCUAGACUACAUCUUGGAGGGUGCUUGGAAAGCAGAAAUGGUGGGAAAUCGUUUUAUUUUCUGUUUGCAAAAGCCACUUUGCAACUUGUGGUUAUCCUAUUCUAUCACCAAGCUCCUGCCUGUAUUUACAGUGGGCUUUGAAGAACCAGCUGCUGAAAGUGAUAAAUCAGCAGCUGAAAAUGAUGAAUGCGAGACUGAUUGGAACUCAAAGUGAAAUAUAGGUGCUUGUCAACAAUGUUAGAUUGGUAACUUGAGGUGGCAAAGAGUGGUGACUGCUGGCAAAAUGUAUGAAUAUAUGUAUUAUAGUAGCAAUUAUACUUGCUUAUUUCAAUGUUUUUGAAGUCUUCUUAUUUAUAGAACAUUCUGGCUUUUUAUUUUGAGGAGCACUGCUAACAAUAAAUCAGAACCAACAUUUA
rnacentral:lncRNA from 1 species